GUGGUCCAUGGUAGAAAAAGAAGGAGAGAAAACCCAUGAGUUGGGCAUCCCUUGUCUUGCCCUGUUUGGAUUUUCUUUGACUAGGUAUUUGACCUAAACAAGAAUUCUUCAUAUCUCAUUAUUUAAGAUAAAUUUUUUUUUGAUAUUUUUAUGGAUUAUAGAGCAUUUAGAGACCUUUGGAGUGUGUGAAAAUUAGGGAGAAAGAGUGUUGAGGCAUGGAGAUAUAAUAGAUACAAAACUAAGUAUCUGGGUUAGAGCAAAGAGAAGAAGAAGAGGGUCUUCUUCUAGGGUUGCUGAGUUUACCUCUUUUCUUCCUCCAUCUGUGAGUUUUUUAAGAGUAUCUCAUAUCUAAAACUUCUUCUCCUACUUCUCAUCUUUGGAAGAGUCCAAAUCAAGAAGAAGGAGGCAUCUGAUCGACCAUCAAAGAAGGAUCAGCACAGUACUAGCAUACUGUGCUGAUUUCCUGGACCAGGACUUCUUAUCAUGAUUCAUGAGCUCGUGUGGGUGACUCCUAGAGGUCGGAUGUAUAUGUGGCUCACAAUAUUAUCCUCAAGCCCAGAUCAGUAAAGUUAGAACAUCUAACUUGCAAGGUAAUAGAUCUGAUCUAUUAUAUUUUACAUAUAUUAGAUGUAGUAUAGAAACAUGUUGAUAUGAUCAACAUGUAGUUCUUGCUUUUUAUAUUUUAAUUUUUGAUUUAAUACCAUAAAAUAAUCA
rnacentral:lncRNA from 1 species